GACGUUUGAUGUACUACCUUUAAAUCAAUAAUUAUGUGCCAUUUACCAGUCAUAAGUGACUUCUGUAUGAAAUGUGAUCUUAGACCAAAGCAUUCUCUAGUUAUUGGGCAAAAAAAGUUCUAGUGUUCUGGGUCAAUGUGACCUAGACCUUUGACCAUUGACUGACCUCAAAAUCAGUAGGGGUCCUCUGCCGGUCAUGAUCAACCUCCCUAUGUAGUUUCAUGAUCCUAGGUCAAAGAGUUCUCAAACUAACAUCCGGAAACAGCUUAACUGUUCCAGCUCACUGUGACCUUGACCUUUGACCUACUGAACUAAAAAUCUAUAGGAGUUAUCUGCUAGCUAUGUUCAACCUUCCCAUUCACUUUCAUGAUCCUAGGCUUAAGAGUAUUAGAGUUAUCAUCUGGAAACUGUUUAACUGUUCCAGGUCGCUGUGAUUUUGACCUUUGACCUACUGGCCUCCAAGUCAAUAUGAGUCACUGCUGGUCAUGACCAACCUACAUAUAAAGUUUCAUGAUCUUAGGCCCAAGCAUUCUUGUGUUAUCAUCCGGAAACCAAUUGGUCAUCAUACCAAAUGACCGACAGACUGACCAACAUCUGCAAAACAGUAUACCCAGGCUCCUUCUUCAAAGGGUUUCAUUAAAAUCAGAAUAAGUCUAUGCUGACUCUAGCUGGACAAAAAUAAUAUUCAGAAUGGUAUACAGAAAAUUUGAAUUUUCGUUCUUUUGUGAGACAGAAUAUUUAUUGCUUAUUAUAGCUUUGCAUUAUAUUCAAUGCAAGACAGAAAAGGUGGAAAAUAGGUGGCAACUAGUGGAAAUUGGCUGUACUAGCUGAAUCUGAAAAGAUCAUUUUUAAAUGUGUCUGCAGUGUAUUAUUUCUGCAUGAGAGAAAGUUGGUUAAAGAUAAGAUUAAUGAUAGAUCAAGUUACAAGCUCCCUCACAAAUGUAUAGAAACAACCCCAGGUGGAAUUUGGGUCAGUUAAGAUUUAUAUAUGCAGGCAAACAUCAGGUCAGAUGCAAAGAAAUAGUUCUUGCCUAUUCUCUUCAUUAAUUGAAAAAAAAGAAGUGUUUAUAAAAAGGAUGUUUUUACAAUAGCUUUUCAACUUAAGGAUUUGACACCUUCUUUAGCUGACCAAGAAAGUGUAUGUGUGGAAUCAAUUUAUCUGUGUAGUAAUACCAAAUUUUGAAAUCUGGCAUUUGAUGAGUCAGUCUGGGAGAAACUGGAAACACAUUGUGAGAGGUACCUUCUGUGAAAAAAGUGCAACUUUGUGACAUGAUAUGCCUGCCUGACUGUAUAUACCUGAGCAGCACACAGCUUAUUACUGCAUAAAAGAAACAUAUCAAGAUAAUUUUGAAUCAGAUUGUGUGCUGGAAAAAUGGCCUUACAUCCAAAGGAGUGAAAUUUGGAGAGUCAUUCGCCAUCUACUUAAGCCAUCCUGGAAUAUGAAAAAAUAAGACUGCAUUGACAACAUCCUGAUCCUCGUGUUCAGAUCUUUUGUGAUUUCUUGUGAAGAGUCUUUGAUUUUUCAUAAAAAUAAAAAAUAUAUUAAUAUAAUUUGA